rnacentral:lncRNA from 1 species
AUCCGUUAAGUGGUAGCAGACGACGUUAGGUGUUGUCCACGUGUUGGAAUGCGAAUGUGGUGAGGUGUUAUUUUAUUUUUUACGUGACAAUUGGGAUUUAGGGAUUUAUGGAUUUAGGGAUAUUAAAAAAUCAGACCUCUGAUAAUUGGGAAUUAGGGAUUCGAAUUUGAGUUUGGGGAUUUCUUCAAGUGGUUGCGAGAGGAAGCCAGAGACAAUCACUCAUUUUAUUGUUGAAGAAGACGAGGUCAAUCCAGGCUACUGGUGACGCCAAUAGAGGUAAGGUAUGUCGUUUUCGUUGUCCUCUACCUUUUACGAGCAUGUGCGAUAUUUGGGGUUUUCUGUGUUUGUAAGUCGUGUUCAUGAUUUGUGGUCCCAUUUUGCAUGUUGGGUGGUUAUAUUGUAGUUUAGAGUGUGUGGUCCCAUUUUGCAUGUUUGAAUUCUUUAUUCGGUGCAGUGGUCCCCUGCCUUUUAAUGAUGGGUUAGUGGGAUAUAGGUUUGUUCCAUGUCCCCCUGUCGGUGUCGGUGUUAGUGUAUAUGUAGUGAGUGAAUGAGUGCCCCACUUAGCUAUCACUGAAAUACAUAUAAUAUUUGUCUCCCCCA